GCGAGCGUAGUCUAGUGGUUAUGAUGUCUGCUUUACACGCAGAAGGUCGCGUGUUCGACCCACGCCGCUCGUA
rnacentral:tRNA from 1 species